GGCUCCGUAACUUGGAGGACAGAAGCGCCCGUCUGACGAAUUGGGAGUCGUGAGUUCGAUUUCCAUCGGAGCCA
rnacentral:tRNA from 1 species